GACGAACGCUGGCGGCGUGCUUAACACAUGCAAGUCGAGCGGUAAGGCCCUUUCGGGGGUACACGAGCGGCGAACGGGUGAGUAACACGUGGGUGACCUGCCCUUAGCUCUGGGAUAAGCCUGGGAAACUGGGUCUAAUACCGGAUAUGACUCCAUAACGCAUGUUGUGGGGUGGAAAGCCUUGUGCGGCUAGGGAUGGGCCCGCGGCCUAUCAGCUUGUUGGUGGGGUGAUGGCCUACCAAGGCGACGACGGGUAGCCGGCCUGAGAGGGCGACCGGCCACACUGGGACUGAGACACGGCCCAGACUCCUACGGGAGGCAGCAGUGGGGAAUCUUGCGCAAUGGGCGAAAGCCUGACGCAGCGACGCCGCGUGGGGGAUGACGGCCUC
rnacentral:rRNA from 1 species